UCACUGGUGGCUCAGAGGUUAAAGCAUCUGCCUCCAAUGCAGGAGACCCAGGUUCGAUCCCUGGGUCGGGAA
rnacentral:tRNA from 1 species